UUCAUUUCUUCAUUGUCAUCCGCUUCUCCUUUCAAGGCUCGUCUCGGUGUCGUCGCUGUACAAUUUCUGUGGGAUUUUCUCAUUUUGAGUAGGCCUACUACCUCAUAUUAUCAUUUAAAAUGGGCUUCUUGGCUUGGGCUGCAGUGACAGUUAUUGGUGCAGGUGUAACCACAGUUGCACCAUUUCUGGCACCCGCCGUGUUGCCGGCAAUUGGUUUUGGAGCCGCAGGACCUGUAGCUGGCACCCUUGCUACAGCUGCCCAAGCAUAUGUCGGUAACGUAGCGGCUGGAUCUGUAUUUGCUGCUUGCCAGACAGCGGCAAUGGCGGCCCCAACUCUAUAGAGGGUUCAGGGAGCCCAUUGUGCCAAUGUAAGCUUCAACACUUUUUCUUCAGUACAGUAUUAAUUACUUGAAUUUUGACAUAUGAAAAUGUAUCUUUCUGAAUUGUAAGACUUAUAAUAUUAAUAAACAUUUUUUUGUACGGUUGUAAUAAAAAUCUCUUAAAGGUAA